GCUGGCGUAGCUCAACGGUAGAGCAGGGGUUUUGUAAACCUCAGGUUGGGGGUUCAAGUCCCUCCGCCAGCUCCA
rnacentral:tRNA from 1 species